rnacentral:rRNA from 1 species
GAUGAACGCUGGCGGCGUGCCUAAUACAUGCAAGUCGAGCGAACGGACGAUAAGCGUGCUUUCCUGAGGUUAGCGGCGGACGGGUGAGUAACACGUGGAUAACCAACCUAUAAGACUGGGAUGACUUCGGGAGACCGGUGCUAAUACUAGAUAAUAUUUUGAACCGCAUGGUUCAAAAGUGCAAGACGCUUUUCCUGUCACUAUGAGAUGAAUCCGCGCUGGAUUAGCUAGUUGGUAAGGUAACGGCUUACCAAGGCAACGAUGCAUAGCCGACCUGAGAGGAUGAUCAGCCACACUGGAACUGAGACACGGUCCAGACUCCUACGGGAGGCAGCAGUAGGGAAUAUUCCGCAAAGGGCGAAAGCCUGACGGAGCAACGCCGCGUGAGUGAUGAAGGUCUUCGGAUCGUAAAACUCUGUUAUUAGGGAAGAACAUAUGUGUAAGUAACUGUGCACAUCUUGACGGUACCUAAACAGAAAGCCCCGGCUAACUACGUG